rnacentral:rRNA from 1 species
UACGUAGGGACCAAGCGUUGUUCGGAUUUACUGGGCGUAAAGCGCACGUAGGCGGAUUUGUUAGUCAGGGGUGAAAUCCCGGGGCUCAACCUCGGAACUGCCUUUGAUACUGCAAAUCUCGAGUCCGAUAGAGGUGGGUGGAAUUCCUAGUGUAGAGGUGAAAUUCGUAGAUAUUAGGAAGAACACCGGUGGCGAAGGCGGCCCACUGGAUCGGUACUGACGCUGAGGUGCGAAAGCGUGGGGAGCAAACAGG